AUUUAUAUAAUAUAAAAUAUUAUAUUUGACUUCCAAUCAUAAAAUCUACUAAUGUAGUAUAAAUA
rnacentral:tRNA from 1 species